UGGCCUCCCCCUCCCGUCUCCUGACACCCGAUGUGAUAACAGCAGAGGAUGCUGAUCCAGCCGAGCACUAUCUCAGUUUAACAACCCUGAUGCAUGAGCCAACAUGAAGAGGCCACAGAGGAGACAACUGGAGUAUCAAAGAACACAGUGACUUAAGCUGAAAAACCGAACGCAUGAACACAGGAGUUCCUACUGAAAUAAAGCAGCGGCCUCCCCGUCCAAGAAACAACAAACAAACACUGGGUUACCAUCCGAGGAUUUCAGCUACCUGAAAAUUUUGUGGUGGUGAUAAAAAGUUGAAGAAAACGCAACGCUAGGGUUACUAUCAGACACUCCUGUGAGAAACAGUCUUUAGAAUCACCUUCGAAUUCUUCCCCAUCUCUGUGUCUCUCCCUGUGUCUGUCCGUCUGCCUGCCUGCCUAUGUACCUUUCAGCCCCAAGCUACAGGCUUUGAGCACCUGCUUUGCAGUUUAAACAGAUUUAGGACUGACCCUUCUAUAACCACUCAGAACAAGUCAGGUAUCUGGACACACUAUUAGUUUGGGCCCCUUAUUAUUUAAUC